CCUACGGGAGGCAGCAGUGGGGGAUAUUGCACAAUGGGCGCAAGCCUGAUGCAGCGACGCCGCGUGGGGGAUGACGGCUUUCGGGUUGUAAACCUCUUUCGUCGGGGGACAAGGCUCUGCUUGGUGGUGGGGUUGAGGGUACCCGGUGAAGAAGCGCCGGCUAACUACGUGCCAGCAGCCGCGGUAAUACGUAGGGCGCGAGCGUUGUCCGGAAUUAUUGGGCGUAAAGGGCUCGUAGGCGGCUUGUCGCGUCUGCUGUGAAAAUGCGGGGCUUAACUCCGUACGUGCAGUGGGUACGGGCAGGCUAGAGUGCGGUAGGGGUGACUGGAAUUCCUGGUGUAGCGGUGGAAUGCGCAGAUAUCAGGAGGAACACCGAUGGCGAAGGCAGGUCACUGGGCUGUU
rnacentral:rRNA from 1 species